ACUGAAUUUAUGUGUGUACUUGA
rnacentral:miRNA from 1 species